rnacentral:rRNA from 1 species
GGUGGGGUAACGGCCUACCAAGCCUAUAACCGGUACGGGCCNUGAGAGGGGGAGCCCGGAGAUGGGAACUGAGAAACGGUCCCAGGUCNUACGGGACGCAGCAGGCGCGAAACCUCCACAAUGCACGAAAGUGCGAUGGGGUUAUCCCGAGUGCUUUCCGAUGAGGAUGGCUUUUCCUCGGUGUAAAAAGGCGAGGGAAUAAAGGGGGGGCAAGACUGGUGUCAGCCGCCGCGGUAAUACCAGCUCCCUGAGUGGUAGGGAUGAUUAUUUGGCCUAAAGCGUUCGUAGCCGGCUUGGCAAGUCUUCCGUUAAAUCCAGCGACUCAAUCGUUGGUCUGCGGAAGAUACUACUAGGCUAGAGGACGGGAGAGGUUGACGGUAUUCCCAGUGUAGGGGUGAAAUCCAAUAAUCCUGGGAGGACCACCAGUGGCGAAGGCGGUCAACGAGAACGUGCCUGACGGUGAUGGACGAAAGCUGGGGGAGCGAACCGGAUUAGACACCCGGGUAGUCCCAGCCGUAAACGAUGCGGGCUAGGUGUUAGGGCAGCUACGAGCUGCUCUAGUGCCGCAGAGAAGUCGUUAAGCCCGCCGCCUGGGGAGUACGAUCGCAAGAUUGAAACUUAA